AUUGAACGCUGGCGGCAGGCCUAACACAUGCAAGUCGAACGAGUGGCGGACGGGUGAGUAAUGUCUGGGAACCUGCCUGAUGGAGGGGGAUAACUACGGGAAACGGUAGCUAAUACCGCAUACCAUCAGAUGUGCCCUGAUGGGAUUAGCUAGUUGGUGGGGUAACGGCUAACCAAGUCGACGAUCCCUAACUGGUCUGAGAGGAUGACCAGCCACACUGGAACGGAGACACGGUCCAGACUCCUACGGGAGGCAGCAGUAGGGAAUAUUGCACAAUGGGCGAAAGCCUGAUGCAGCCAUGCCGCGUGUAUGAAGAAGGCCUUCGGGUUGUAAAGUACUUUCAGCGGGGAGGCGUUACCCGCAGAAGAAGCACCGGCUAACUCCGUGCCAGCAGCCGCGGUAAUUC
rnacentral:rRNA from 1 species